rnacentral:rRNA from 1 species
ACGAACGCUGGCGGCGUGCUUAACACAUGCAAGUCGAACGGGUCUGCCCUGUUUUUUGCGGGGUGGGUCAGUGGCGAACGGGUGAGUAACACGUGAGUAACCUGCCCCUCACUUCUGGAUAACCGCUUGAAAGGGUGGCUAAUACGGGGUGUUCUGGCUGUGCCGCAUGGUGUGGCUGGGAAAGAUUCACUUUUGUGGUGUUUUGGUGGGGGAUGGGCUCGCGGCCUAUCAGCUUGUUGGUGGGGUGAUGGCCUGCCAAGGCUUUGACGGGUAGCCGGCCUGAGAGGGUGGGCGGUCACACGGGGACUGAGAUACGGCCCAGACUCCGGCGGGAGGCAGCAGUGGGGGGUAUUGCACAAUGGGCGGAAGCCUGAUGCAGCGACGUCGCGUGAGGGAUGGAGGCCUUCGGGUUGUGAACCUCUUUCGCCGGUGAAGAAGGUCCUGCUCUUUGUGGUGGGGUUGACGGUAGCCGGGUUAUGAAGCGCCGGCUAACUACGUG